ACUUUGAGGCAGUGCAGUUGAAGGAGCAGAGGCGGCAGCAGCGCUUGCGAGGCCACACCAGCUACGAUGUGGAGAACGGAGAGUUUCUUUGUCCUCUGUGCGAGUGCCUCAGCAACACUGUCAUCCCUCUGCUGCCGCAUGCACUCGCGCCUGAUCGAAGUGUUGAUCACCCCAGUCUGGCCGUUUGGCUGAAGACAACCAAUGAGGAGAUUGCAGCGCUGCACUAUGCGAACAGAAAGUCUUCAAGCGAUGCAACAGAAGAGGUGGAACC